UCAAUGUAAUGCAGGUCUGUGAUUUUAGUCUCUCAAGGUUGAAUCACGGCACAUUUUCAUUUUGAAUUUUAACUGCUGGAACGCCUGAAUGGAUGGCACCAAAAGUGUUGUGUAACGAGCCAUCAAAGGAGAAGUUUGGCCCCAAUUGAAAACCAGGAACAACAUAUAGACGAAUAUGGAAAGACCGUAUGGCUAAUUGUGAGCAAAAGGGAGUGACCUUGAGUUGUUUGGUUUUAAGUUUUGUAAAUAAUAGUGAUGGCACUUGAGUUA